CCCCCCCCCCCCCCCCCCCCCCCACGGGCCGAGGGCAUGGCGCGACUCGGCACGAGGAGAGGGAGGGGAAGACCGGGAAGGGGACAGUGGGAGAGGCUGCAGGACACCGAGACAGAAAGUGGGACAGCGGGAAAGGGAGCGGAGGAACAAGAGAAGGGACGCGGAGGGCUUGCAACUUGCCCCUCGUGGUGGCAUGCCCGGGGCCCCGUCCCGCCCGCUCGCCCCGCGCUGCAGUCUGCUCCUCACAAGCAAGCAAAGCGCUGUCCGCUCUUUCCCCUGGCGCCGAGGAAAGUGCCGAAGGCGGAGCCCACCAGCGCCAGGCAGAGCCAGCGCCGUCGGAGGGCCGAGCGAGACGUGACGACCGUUAUCUGUCUUUAUUUCCUGGGGUACUCCUAAAGAAGCAAAUGCUUGAAAAAAAUGUUGACAUGCAUGAUUAGCUGUUUCUUCUGCGUGUAAGGAGGUGAAAACUGCAACAGAGAAAGUGUCUACUGAUACAUGGAUAUUUUUAACUUUCCCAAAAGAUGGAUAUUUGGUAAUAUCUGUUUGCCAUAAUUGCAGGCUUUGCAACCCCCAUGGGUUGUCAGCUCCUGUGGACAUAGGAAGUCGCGCAAGUUGACAAUCAGGACAAGCAUUUAUAAUUGCUUUUACUCGAUCCUUAGAAAUGUGAAACAUUCACAUAAGUGUGUAUUUUGAUGAAAAAGGGUGUGACAAUUUAGGUCGUUCAAAAAUGUUAGGCCAGAUACUUGUAACAGUCAUUGUCAAUUUAUCUGCUCUUGUGUUUCCUUCUGCUAAGAAUCCUGGAAGUGAGAAAUGUGCCCUAAUAUGGGAAACAAAAUAUUUGUUAGUUCUCUGUUGUAUAAUUCUGUAAAGACAUGUAAGAUAAUGAUACAGAUUAUCAUUGCUAACAUAUUUUAACAUAUUCUUCUAUCAAUAUUAGCAAUGUAAGUGGAACCUGUAACUAAAUUAAAAGGUUCUUGAAAAAUCUGAAAAGCUCUAACGACCACUGUUAUCUUCACAAUUUGAGGAGAGCCCUCUACUGUUUGAAUGUUUGAUUCUCAUGACUUAGUUUUUUGAUUUUUCUAUACUAUUACUGAUUUGUGCGUUUUCCCUGAACCAUCAGUAAAGAUUGUUACAGUAGCUAAAGGCACCUCACUCAACAUAGGUUUUUUUGUCUAAAGCUCAGCUUGGCAUCAGUAAAGAUUGUUACAGUAGCUAAAGGCGCCUCACUCAACAUAGGUUUUUUUUUGUCUAAAGCUCAGCUUGAUUUCCCUGAACCAUCAGUAAAGAUUGUUACAGUAGCUAAAGGCACCUCACUCAACAUAGGUUUUUUUGUCUAAAGCUCAGCUUGGCUUGCAACAACCUAUGACUCGGAAAGUGCAUAUUAGCCAUCCUAAAUAUUUUCUUGAUGAGGUUUCUUGUAUUUUUGUUGUAGAAAUUUCUAGUCCACCAUUCUGAACUUCUGUAAUAACACAGUCUUGUGUUUCUUCCAUCUCUUUUUGUGUCAGUGCUACAAUUAGCAAGUCGUCCAUAAAAUCAUUGCUUGAGG
rnacentral:lncRNA from 12 species